AUAAAGCGCGACGUGCAGACCACAGUAGAAACUUCAGGACCCGCCCCCAACCUAACCCGCCUCGUACCGCCGGAGGCAGCCGUCGCGGGCGAGCGAGCGACGGCGGCAGCCGGAGCGAGGGAGCCCGCGGCGCCAUGACGGGUCGCUCCUCCGACCCACGCGCUGACGCCGGCCGGCCGGCCGGCCGCCCCCCGCCUCCAACCUUCGACGUCGCGCCGCGCCGCGCCCCCGCCCUCCCACAUCCAGAGACCCGCCGCGCCCCCCGCCCGACUCCCUCCCCAGCGACGCGCCGCCGCCCGACCUCCUCCCCGGCGCGUCGCCGCCCGGCUCCCUCCCCGGCGACGCACCUCCAGACUCCUUCUUUCCCCGCCAAUGUAUGUUGCGUGACCCGAGCGCCCAGCUGCAGCAUACGAGGUUGCGCGCCGCCGCCGGACCAACCGUCCCCGUCAGGAUCCCCCGCCUCCCACCGUGGCUCCUCGCUGCCACCAUGGGAUCCCAGCCGACAGGCUCCCCAGAGUGCCCCGUGCCCGGCCGCCUCGCUUCCAUCACCGGUCGUCGCCCCUCCACCAUGCCUCCUCCCACAACCCCGAUCCAGAUCCAGCGACCUCCACGAGGAUGCAUGUCAGUCUCGCCAUGGUCACAUUGGUAGUCCAACUGGUCGCCCCAUGGCCGGUCGCUCAAAGUGCUGCGUAUAGGCCACCCCGUGCUCUACCCCUGGGCCUGGCUCAAACUUGAAGCAAAGGAGAUGAGAUGCUACAAAAAAGGUGGUCAGUCCAGCUCCUGCAACCAACACAGGUCGUUGCCCCUUUUGCCACAACGGCAGGAGCACGAACACGAGUGUGGUCGUCCUCAACCAGUUCCUCACACGGCCUCCGCGCAAGCCCUGCUCAUGUAUGCUUACACCAAAAGUAAAACUCUUGCUACUCUCCUCAUACUUGCACUUGCUUAUUUUCUAAGCACUAAUCCUAUUGCUUCCUCUUGGGGAAAGGGAUCCCAUGUUGAAGCUAUCUUGGUGCUCACACGCUGUUUAUAUUCAUCACCAUAGUGUACGAAACAUAUGAAAACCAUUCUGGCUUCAGAGAAAAUAUAACCAGUACAUGUGCAAUUGCACGAGAAGUUCCCUUAUGAAAGUUCCUUGUAAACAAACCACAUGAAAGUUCAGCGAGAGAAACUUUGUAAGUUCAAGAUGGCUAUAGAAAAACUUUGUAGGUUCAGAUGGGUAUAGAAAACUUUGUAAAUUUAUUUUCUCAAUGUACUUAUGAUGUCCAGUUUCUUUUUUUAGUUCA